rnacentral:lncRNA from 1 species
ACUCCCACCGCGUCCCGGCCCCUGCCCCAGGCCGGAGGGCAGAGGAAGUGCCCGGCCCCUCCCGAGGCUCUGGGGCCGCAGUGGGCUCGGGGGUGGGAGACGAGGUCCAAGCGCCGGCGAGACCCCUGCCAGCCCGGGACCUGGGCUCGGAGGCUCCCUUCCGGAUUUCCAAAAUCUGCGGAGGCAGCAUUUGUUCCGCCUCUCCCCUCUAGAGUGUGGAGACAGGAGGACGUCUGUGUAGGGAAGCACGUCGUUGGCAGACUGCUGUUUUGCCGAUGUUUAUUUGUUAUGCCAUUAUGACUGUUAGGAUUUCUCACCUGGAGUGGCUUCCGCCAUAAGCGCCGGGAUCUGGAAGGACGGCACGUUUGACUUCUGUUGUCCCAACCUCACUUGCCAGCCCUUGGCACCGCCCCAGCUUGGAUCCUCAGGGCGCCUCUGUUAUUUUCAUUCAUUUUUUUUGAGGACUCCAGGGUUCAGGUUUCUUAACUCCUGGACCAAAGUUCGCCCCGCUCGUAGCACCCUGUCUCUCAUCCUUAGAGAUUCUGAAGUUUGGACUUGAGCUUUUGGGGCAGAGACUGAAUUGGGCCUUAUGCAACUCUUGCAAUACCGAUGACCUGCAAAGGACAGUAUGGAAGAGAUGAGCAUUAGAGUUUGGAUCCGGAUGGGGCCAGAAAUACCCUGAAUUAAGAGUGGGAAGGGGGGGCCCAUCAAAAUCAUUGAUCUUAAAAAUAAGUAAGGCCUGUGGGGUGAAAUUUGAAAUAAAGCAGAAAGAUAAGCUUCUUUGAUUAUUAUAUAACUUAAAAAAGUGUUUAUCAGCUUUGAAUACCCCCAAGAUGGUCACAGCAUUAAGCCAGUUAUGGGUCAUUCGUACAUAAGUGUGAAAUUAGUCACUCAGCUUUAACAGCUGGAUGAAAAAUAGGGUAGAGCCUAGGAUGAGGGAAUACCAGGUCUGAGUAGGUCUUCCUCCCAGAAAGGUCUCUGAGCAGGAGAAGGCAUCAUAAUGUCUGGGCAUUGGGGAGUGAAUAAUUAGGGGGCACACAAGAAGGGAUGAAAGACACCAAAAGCAAGCUUAC